GAACGGGUGAGUAACACGUGGGUGAUCUGCCCUGCACUUUGGGAUAAGCCUGGGAAACUGGGUCUAAUACCGAAUAGGACCACGCGCUUCAUGGUGUGUGGUGGAAAGCUUUUGCGGUGUGGGAUGGGCCCGCGGCCUAUCAGCUUGUUGGCGGGGUAAUGGCCUACCAAGGCGACGACGGGUAGCCGGCCUGAGAGGGUGACCGGCCACACUGGGACUGAGAUACGGCCCAGACUCCUACGGGAGGCAGCAGUGGGGAAUAUUGCACAAUGGGCGCAAGCCUGAUGCAGCGACGCCGCGUGAGGGAUGACGGCCUUCGGGUUGUAAACCUCUUUCAAUAGGGACGAAGCGCAAGUGACGGUACCUAUAGAAGAAGCACCGGCCAACUACGUGCCAGCAGCCGCGGUAAUACGUAGGGUGCGAGCGUUGUCCGGAAUUACUGGGCGUAAAGAGCUCGUAGGUGGUUUGUCGCGUUGUUCGUGAAAACUCACAGCUUAACUGUGGGCGUGCGGGCGAUACGGGCAGACUAGAGUACUGCAGGGGAGACUGGAAUUCCUGGUGUAGCGGUGGAAUGCGCAGAUAUCAGGAGGAACACCGGUGGCGAAGGCGGGUCUCUGGGCAGUAACUGACGCUGAGGAGCGAAAGCGUGGGGAGCGAACAGGAUUAGAUACCCUGGUAGUCCACGCCGUANACGGUGGGUACUAGGUGUGGGUUCCUUCCUUGGGAUCCGUGCCGUAGCUAACGCAUUAAGUACCCCGCCUGGGGAGUACGGCCGCAAGGCUAAAACUCAAAGGAAUUGACGGGGG
rnacentral:rRNA from 1 species